rnacentral:rRNA from 1 species
UGGCGGACGGGUGAGUAACGCGUGGGUAACCUGCCUUAUACAGGGGGAUAACAACCAGAAAUGGUUGCUAAUACCGCAUAAGCGCACGGGAUUGCAUGAUCCAGUGUGAAAAACUCCGGUGGUAUGAGAUGGACCCGCGUCUGAUUAGCCAGUUGGCGGGGUAACGGCCCACCAAAGCGACGAUCAGUAGCCGACCUGAGAGGGUGACCGGCCACAUUGGGACUGAGACACGGCCCAAACUCCUACGGGAGGCAGCAUG